CGCCGACGGUGCAUAUCUUCAAAAUAAUCUUCUAAUCAAGGUUAGAUCAUCGUUCGUAUGUUUGAUUUUGAUUGUUUUUAUAUUUGAUUUUGUUCGUUCGUAUGUAGGUUUCUGUCACUCGAUUCGUUACAAUCACCAACCCUAUUUCUCAGCCGUAAUAGACAUUGGCGUUUUCAACGUUGGCGAUUUCAUCAGACGAUUUUAUUUACAUCGGUCUUAUCUUGAUCCUGGUUUGAGAUUAAAGGCCUACAAUGAAUAACCGUACGGCAAAAACUCAACAACUGCAAGAAUAAAUAGAUCAAGUUUGACGCUGCUCAUGGUACUACCAUUUGUAAGAAGCUACGCAUUCUCGAUUAUGUUUUUGUAGCAUAUUGCUUUGCGUAAAUUAUUAGAUGGCGUUUUA